UGGGGAAUAUUGGGCAAUGGAGGAAACUCUGACCCAGCAACGCCGCGUGGAGGAAGAAGGUUUUCGGAUCGUAAACUCCUGUCCUUGGAGACGAGUAGAAGACGGUAUCCAAGGAGGAAGCCCCGGCUAACUACGUGCCAGCAGCCGCGGUAAUACGUAGGGGGCAAGCGUUGUCCGGAAUAAUUGGGCGUAAAGGGCGCGUAGGCGGCUCGGUAAGUCUGGAGUGAAAGUCCUGCUUUUAAGGUGGGAAUUGCUUUGGAUACUGUCGGGCUUGAGUGCAGGAGAGGUUAGUGGAAUUCCCAGUGUAGCGGUGAAAUGCGUAGAGAUUGGGAGGAACACCAGUGGCGAAGGCGACUAACUGGACUGUAACUGACGCUGAGGCGCGAAAGUGUGGGGAGCAAACAGGAUUAGAUACCCUGGUAGUCCACACUGUAAACGAUGAAUGCUAGGUGUAGGGGGUAUCGACCCCUUCUGUGCCGCAGUCAACACAAUAAGCAUUCCGCCUGGGGAGUACGGCCGCAAGGUUGAAACUCAAAGGAAUUGACGGGGGCCCGCACAAGCAGCGGAGCAUGUGGUUUAAUUCGACGCAACGCGAAGAACCUUACCAGGUCUUGACAUCCACUUAAACUUACAGAGAUGUAAGGUGUGCUUGCACAAAGUGAGACAGGUGGUGCAUGGUUGUCGUCAGCUCGUGUCGUGAGAUGUUGGGUUAAGUCCCGCAACGAGCGCAACCCUUAUCUUCAGUUACUAACGCGUAAAGGUGAGGACUCUGAAGAGACUGCCGGGGACAACUCGGAGGAAGGUGGGGACGACGUCAAAUCAUCAUGCCCCUUAUGACCUGGGCUACACACGUGCUACAAUGGCCACAACAGAGAGAAGCGAAAUCGUAAGGUAGAGCGGAACUCAAAAAAGUGGUCCCAGUUCGGAUUGUGGGCUGCAACCCGCCCACAUGAAGUCGGAGUUGCUAGUAAUCGCGGAUCAGCAUGCCGCGGUGAAUACGUUCCC
rnacentral:rRNA from 1 species